rnacentral:piRNA from 1 species
UAUUCUUCCUUGGGUAUUUCUGGA